rnacentral:rRNA from 1 species
CUACGGAGGCAGCAGUGGGAAUAUUACAAUGCAAGCAAGCCAGACGCAACCCGCGCUGAGGGAAGAAGGCCUUCGGGUUGUAAACCUCUUUAGCAGGGAAGAAGCGGAAGUGACGGUACCUGCAGAAAAAGGCCGGCUAACUACGUGCCAGCAGCCGCGGUAA